rnacentral:rRNA from 1 species
CCUACGGGUGGCAGCAGUGAGGAAUAUUGGUCAAUGGACGCAAGUCUGAACCAGCCAUGCCGCGUGCAGGAUGACGGCUCUAUGAGUUGUAAACUGCUUUUGUACGAGGGUAAACCCCGAUACGUGUAUCGGGUUGAAAGUAUCGUACGAAUAAGGAUCGGCUAACUCCGUGCCAGCAGCCGCGGUAAUACGGAGGAUCCGAGCGUUAUCCGGAUUUAUUGGGUUUAAAGGGUGCGUAGGCGGAUCGUUAAGUCAGUGGUCAAAUUGAGGGGCUCAACCCCUUCCCGCCAUUGAAACUGGCGCUCUGGAGUGGAAGAGAAGUAGGCGGAAUGCGUGGUGUAGCGGUGAAAUGCAUAGAUAUCACGCAGAACCCCGAUUGCGAAGGCAGCAUGCCGGCUUCCGACUGACGCUGAAGCACGAAAGCGUGGGGAUCGAACAGGAUUAGAUACCCCAGUAGUC